AUACGUAGGGAGCAAACGUUGUCCGGAUUUAUUGGGCGUAAAGGGCUCGUAGGCGGUUCAACAAGUCGGUCGUGAAAGCCCGGGGCUCAACCCCGGGACGCCGGUCGAAACUGUUGUGACUAGAGUUCGGUAGAGGUGAGUGGAAUUCUCGGUGUAGCGGUGGAAUGCGCAGAUAUCGAGAGGAACACCAUUAGCGAAGGCGGCUCACUGGGCCGAUACUGACGCUGAGGAGCGAAAGCGUGGGGAGCAAACAGGAUUAGAAACCCCGGUAGUCC
rnacentral:rRNA from 1 species